rnacentral:rRNA from 1 species
CAGCCGCCGCGGGAAAACGUAGGUGGCAAGCGUUGUCCGGAAUUAUUGGGCGUAAAGGGCUCGCAGGCGGUUUCUUAAGUCUGAUGUGAAAGCCCCCGGCUCAACCGGGGAGGGUCAUUGGAAACUGGGAAACUUGAGUGCAGAAGAGGAGAGUGGAAUUCCACGUGUAGCGGUGAAAUGCGUAGAGAUGUGGAGGAACACCAGUGGCGAAGGCGACUCUCUGGUCUGUAACUGACGCUGAGGAGCGAAAGCGUGGGGAGCGAACAGGAUUAGAUACCCCAGUAGUCCCUGUCUCUUAUAA